rnacentral:rRNA from 1 species
UGGGGAAUAUUGGACAAUGGGGGAAACCCUGAUCCAGCAAUGCCGCGUGUGUGAAGAAGGCCUUCGGGUUGUAAAGCACUUUCAGUGGGGAAGAAAGACCUAAGAAUAAUACUCUUAGGAGGUGACGUUACCCACAGAAGAAGCACUGGCUAACUCUGUGCCAGCAGCCGCGGUAAUACAGAGAGUGCGAGCGUUAAUCGGAAUUACUGGGCGUAAAGCGCACGUAGGUGGAUACUUAAGUCGAAUGUGAAAGCCCCGGGCUUAACCUGGGAAUUGCAUCCGAUACUGGGUAUCUAGAGUAUGGUAGAGGGAAGUGGAAUUUCCGGUGUAGCGGUGAAAUGCGUAGAUAUCGGAAAGAACACCAGUGGCGAAAGCGGCUUCCUGGACUAAUACUGACACUUAGGUGCGAAAGCGUGGGGAGCAAACAG